UACUCCUACGGGAGGCAGCAGUGGGGAAUAUUGGACAAUGGGCGAAAGCCUGAUCCAGCCAUGCCGCGUGUGUGAAGAAGGUCUUCGGAUUGUAAAGCACUUUAAGUUGGGAGGAAGGGCAGUAAGUUAAUACCUUGCUGUUUUGACGUUACCAACAGAAUAAGCACCGGCUAACUUCGUGCCAGCAGCCGCGGUAAUACGAAGGGUGCAAGCGUUAAUCGGAAUUACUGGGCGUAAAGCGCGCGUAGGUGGUUCAGCAAGUUGGAUGUGAAAUCCCCGGGCUCAACCUGGGAACUGCAUCCAAAACUACUGAGCUAGAGUACGGUAGAGGGUGGUGGAAUUUCCUGUGUAGCGGUGAAAUGCGUAGAUAUAGGAAGGAACACCAGUGGCGAAGGCGACCACCUGGACUGAUACUGACACUGAGGUGCGAAGGCGUGGGGAGCAAACAGGAUUAGAUACCCUGGUAGUCCACGCCGUAAACGAUGUCGACUAGCCGUUGGGAUCCUUGAGAUCUUAGUGGCGCAGCUAACGCGAUAAGUCGACCGCCUGGGGGGUACGGCCGCAAGGA
rnacentral:rRNA from 1 species